GAUGAAGAACGUAGCGAAAUGCGAUACGUAAUGUGAAUUGCAAAUUCCGUGAAUCAUCGAAUCUUUGAACGCACAUUGCGCCCCCUGGCAUUCCGGGGGGCAUGCCUGUCCGAGCGUCAUUUCUGCCCUCAAGCCCGGCUUGUGUGUUGGGCGUGGUCCCCCCGGUUUAGGGGGGACCUGCCCGAAAGGCAGCGGCGACGUUCCGCCUAGGUCCUCGAGCGUAUGGGGCUUUGUCACCCGCUCGGGAGGGGCCUACGGGCGUUGGCCAUCCACCAUUUUUUUUUUACGGUUGACCUCGGAUCAGGUAGGAGUUACCCGCUGAACUUAAGCAUAUCAAUAAGCGGAGGA
rnacentral:misc_RNA from 1 species